rnacentral:rRNA from 1 species
CACGUAGGGAGCAAGCGUUGUCCGGAUUUAUUGGGCGUAAAGAGCUCGUAGGCUGUUCGUUAAGUCGGGUGUGAAACCUCCAGGCUCAACCUGGAGACGCCACCCGAUACUGUCAUGACUAGAGUCCGGUAGGGGAGCGUGGAAUUCCUGGUGUAGCGGUGAAAUGCGCAGAUAUCAGGAGGAACACCAGCGGCGAAGGCGGCGCUCUGGGCCGGUACUGACGCUGAGGAGCGAAAGCGUGGGUAGCAAACAGG